ensembl:lncRNA
AGCCUUCAGUGUUCCCCCCGCCAAUAGCCUCAGGAUAAAGUGCAAGCCUUUACCACUUACCCAUCACCUGGUCUGGGUGGUCUGGUCUCUGGGAAUCACUUGGAGUUCAUUGAAUGAAUGGUGCCGAAUGACUCAAAGCUCUUCCAGCUUUCCAGAGCUGUGACUUCAGAAUGCCCAGGGAACAGACAGCUUCCAUGCUUGGUGGUCGGGAACCAAUAAAUAUUUGCUAAAGGAAUGAAGGAAUGAAUGGAUCCAGGGCUGCAGCAGUGGCAGAGAGGCAAACAAGCACGAGCUCCAGGAGAAGGUUAUAGUAGUUCUUAGUGAAAGAUCAAUGUGCUUCAGAGUGAGAUAGAUCUGGAUUGGAAUCCUUGCUGCAACACUUAAUAGGCGGUUGACUUACUAGGGCUCCCAAACGCUGUAGGUGCCACCUUCUCAGACUGUGAAACAGCUUCAGUGCAAACAGAGGUUUCAGAACUCUCCAACCAAAUACCAUCGUUAAUGGUGAAGAACUCCUGACAAUAAACAUUCCAGGGAUGUCUCAGACACAAAGCAGCUAUCAACUGAUUUGGAAUGAACGCCCGCUGUUAUCUGAAAUGAUCUUUUAAAACAUUUUAUGUUGGUCUAAGUAGGGUGGAGAGCUGACCGGUUGCAUGUUUAUGGCUCAUCUCUGUUCUUGAAUGAGUGCUCCUUCACGUCUUUUUUUCCAUAAUGGAUUAUAAUUAGCAGUAUGUUAGGGGCUGUAUCAUUAAACAGU